rnacentral:sRNA from 1 species
CUAGCUCCCGGCCCUGCGCAUGCGCACCUCGCCAGGGCCGGGGCCGGGACGGGACAGAAACUGGCGGCUUGGUUUGUUCAGCGCGUCGCGGUCAUGGCUCUCGUUUCAGGCCUCCACGGUGUGCACCUGGAGUCAGGAGCGCGCUUGUGCGUACAGUUCGGUUCAGCAUGUGGAAGAAUGGCAUUCAGUGAGCUGUGUCAUCGCUUCAGAUAAAGAAAAUGUCACCGUGGCUGCAGAGAUCUCCUUGGAUCACUCUGAGGAGUUACUAAAAGAUGUAACCGAACUGCAGAUCCUUGGUGAAAUAUCUUUCAACAAAUCUCUAUAUGAGGGACUGAAUGCAGAGAACCACAGAACUAAGAUCACUGUCGUCUUCCUGAAAGAUGAGAAGUACCAUUCUUUGCCUAUCAUCAUUAAAGGCAGCGUUGGUGGACUUCUGGUGUUGAUCGUGAUUCUGGUCAUCCUGUUCAAGUGUGGCUUUUUUAAAAGAAAAUAUCAACAACUGAACUUGGAGAGCAUCAGGAAGGCCCAGCAGAAAUCAGAGAAUCUGCUCGAAGAAGAGAAUUAGGACCUGCUAUCCACUGGGAGAGGCUAUCAGCCAGUCCUGGGACUUGGAGACCCAGCAUACUUUGCAUUACUUUUUCCUUCAGGAUGAUCUAGAGCAGCAUGGAGCUGUUGGUAGAAUAUUAGUUUUUAACCAUACAUUGUCCCAAAAGUGUCUGU